AUGCACGCUGGCGGCGUGCCUAAUACCUGCAAGUCGCGCGAACGGACGAGAAGCUUGCUUCUCUGAUGUUAGCGGCGGACGGGUGAGUAACACGUGGAUAACCUACCUAUAAGACUGGGAUAACUUCGGGAAACCGGAGCUAAUACCGGAUGAUAUUUUGAACCGCAUGGUUCAAAAGUGAAAGACGGUCUUGCUGUCACUUAUAGAUGGAUCCGCGCUGCAUUAGCUAGUUGGUAAGGUAACGGCUUACCAAGGCAACGAUGCAUAGCCGACCUGAGAGGGUGAUCGGCCACACUGGAACUGAGACACGGUCCAGACUCCUACGGGAGGCAGCAGUAGGGAAUCUUCCGCAAUGGGCGAAAGCCUGACGGAGCAACGCCGCGUGAGUGAUGAAGGUCUUCGGAUCGUAAAACUCUGUUAUUAGGGAAGAACAUAUGUGUAAGUAACUGUGCACAUCUUGACGGUACCUAAUCAGAAAGCCACGGCUAACUACGUG
rnacentral:rRNA from 1 species